AAAAAAAUUAUUUUGACACAGUUUCGUGCUAUGUAGUGCAGGAGGAUCACCGUGAGUUUGAGGGCAGCCUGAACUGCAUAGUGAGACCCUGUCUCAAAAACAAAAAAACAGAAAGAACAAUGUUUUGGGGGGGUUUUUGGUGCCAGGGAUCGAACUGGGGUCCUUGUGGUUUUGAGGCAGGUGGCAGAACCACUGAGCUAAAUCGUUGGCCCCAAAGAACAACCUUGAUUUCUAGAGCUGAGCAUGGUAGUGCCACACCUGUAAUUCCACCACUCUGGACAGCUGAGACAGGAGAAUCACAUUGAGACCCAACCUGGAAACGUAGUCA
ensembl:lncRNA